rnacentral:rRNA from 1 species
UUCCUACGGGGCGCAGCAGUGAGGAAUAUUGGUCAAUGGCCGAGAGGCUGAACCAGCCAAGUCGCGUGAGGGAUGACGGCCCUACGGGUUGUAAACCUCUUUUGUCGGGGAGCAAAGAGAGUCACGUGUGGCUCAUUGAGAGUACCCGAAGAAAAAGCAUCGGCUAACUCCGUGCCAGCAGCCGCGGUAAUACGGAGGAUGCGAGCGUUAUCCGGAUUUAUUGGGUUUAAAGGGUGCGUAGGCGGAAUGCCAAGUCAGCGGUAAAAUCGCGGGGCUCAACCUCGCUCCGCCGUUGAAACUGGCGU